UGAAGAUUUAUUCAGAAAUGAAUGAUCUGAUAGAAUUCAUAACAGUUUGGCUAUUAGAAUAUGUAAUGUUAUGAUUAAUUUUUCUAAUUUCAGUAAUUGUAUUUUGUGUCAGUUAAUGAGCGACUGUCUUCAGGUAAAUGAUCUGGAGUGUGUUUGCAUAUUGAUCAGAUGCUUCAGUGCUCUGAGAGUGUUUAUAGUGCUGUGAGUUUAACACUUCAUCACUGACACACACAACAAUCUUCAUCAACAUGACCUUCAUCAUCAUCUUCAUCUGGACUCUCACAGCGUUUGCUCAAGAGUGUAGAGGACAGAUCACCGUCACUCAGAGUCCCUCAACGACAGCAGCUCGACCAGAAGAAACAGUCAGAAUCAACUGUAGAACCAGCACAGAUGUGUACAGAUGGAGUGACGGGGAUGAAGGUUUAUUCUGGUACUUACAGAAACCUGGAGAAGCUCCUAAACUCCUGAUUUAUAAAGCAAACACCCUCCAGUCAGGAACUCCAUCUAGAUUCAGUGGCAGUGGAUCUAACAGUGAUUUCACUCUGACCAUCAGUGGAGUCCAGACUGAAGAUGCUGGACAUUAUUACUGUCUGAGUUUACACAGUGGUCCAGUGUUCACACAGUGAUCAAGUCGUACAAAAACCUCCGUCAGUCAGAGUCACAGAGACUGAACUGAUCCUGCAGCUGCUCAAACACUAUCACUCACUACUGACACACAGAGACAAACACAGCAACUACACAUGAGCUCAGAACUGAGUUAGGAGUCAAAUCAGCUCCAUUAGACUGAGAUCUGUCCUGUGACAGACGGGUUUGACUCAGUUAUGCUCAGAAUCAGAGAAAACAGAGCGUGUAA